UACGGGGGGUGCGAGCGUUGUCCGGAAUCACUGGGCGUAAAGCGCACGUAGGCGGAUGUGUCAGUCAGGGGUGAAAUCCCGGAGCUCAACUUCGGAACUGCCUUUGAUACAGCACGUCUUGAGUCCGGAAGAGGUGGGUGGAAUUCCUAGUGUAGAGGUGAAAUUCGUAGAUAUUAGGAAGAACACCGGUGGCGAAGGCGGCCCACUGGUCCGGUACUGACGCUGAGGUGCGAAAGCGUGGGGAGCGAACAGG
rnacentral:rRNA from 1 species